AACGAGGCCGACCUGCGGCUGAGUUACCUGCGGAAGGAUCAUUAUCGAAUAAAACUUGGUUUGGGGUUGUUGCUGGCUCCUUGGAGCAAUGUGCACGCCUUACACCAUUUUUUAAACACCACCUGUGCAAUUUGUGUAGACUCGGGAUAAUACUAAUAUCGUAGAUCUCUACGGAUUGAGAACUGCUGUGCACUUGAAGCUGGCUUUUCUUGCAUAUUCCAGUCUAUGUCUUUUUACAAA
rnacentral:misc_RNA from 1 species